rnacentral:tRNA from 1 species
GUUGCCGCAGCCGAGUGGUUAUGGCGAUAGGCUUGAAAUCUUUUGGGAUUUUCCCGCGCAGGUUCGAAUCCUGCCGACAACG